GCGUGUGGAUUUUGGCCGGGCGGUGAUUUAACAGAGCGGUACACUGCAGUCAUCCUGCCCGUUUGCUUCCCUGGGCUUUUGUGCAACAUUAUCUGCAGUUCGCUUGGAUUUGUUGGUUCCGAGCAAGAGGUCAGCCGACUAAAUGCGUGCAGUUGCGGGGGAUUUUAAAGAGGAACGACCUGUAGCCACUGUUUUUCCCACCACCAUUGAUUGUGUAGCCUAUCAUGUAUUGUGAUGCCUUACCUAAACCGACGAUAUAGUGGUAGCUCGUUUGUAUAGGUAUCCUAGCUCAUAUCGAUAGUACAUCCAUACUGGUAUCUUAUUUGAUCUAAACCUAUUGAUAGUCCAUCCACACUGGUAGCUUGCAGUCCUAUUGAUGGCCCACCCACACUGAUACCUGUCGGUGAUCCAAACCUAGUCCAUUCAUACUGGUAGCGUGUUUGAUUUAAAGCUUGGUCAUUCAUACUGGUAGCGUACUUGAUCCAAACCUAUUGAUAGUCCAUUUAUACUGGUAGCGUGCAGCCAUAUUAAUAGCUUAUCCACACGGGUAGUUUGCUUGGUGUCUUAAGCUAGAGUAGCAGCGGUCAUACUGGAGCUGUGGCAUUAGGCCUAUUUACGUAUGUGCGUACUUUGUGUGUGAAACCACCUCCAAGUUGUGUUUGUUUUCUUUAUAUUUUGGUGGUGAGGCUUAUUCUUUUCUUUGUUUUCCUUUUCAUCCUUGCCAUGAUUACUGUGUGUGUGCCCUAUUUGGGGGUUGAAAUAUUUGCUUGAAGAUUAUGAUUUCAAUGGUUUGCCUUUGUUUUGUAGUGGGUACCCUAUACUGAAUACGGCUUAAUACUACAACAGUAUUGAUUAGAGUACAUCUAUCUAUUCAUCCAGCUUUUAUACCAUGACAAACUACGUCAAAAAAUAAAAGUGCUUU